GCCCCGCAAGGAACCAAAGUGCAAAUUUGGAGGCGCACCCCUAAAGGGUGCCGGGGCUUCUCCCGUUUUAAGCGAGACGGGAGAAGA
rnacentral:tRNA from 1 species